rnacentral:rRNA from 1 species
GCAGCAGCCACGGUAAUACGUAGGGGGCAAGCGUUGUCCGGAAUUAUUGGGCGUAAAGCGCGCGCAGGCGGUCAUUUAAGUCUGGUGUUUAAUCCCGGGGCUCAACCCCGGAUCGCACUGGAAACUGGGUGACUUGAGUGCAGAAGAGGAGAGUGGAAUUCCACGUGUAGCGGUGAAAUGCGUAGAUAUGUGGAGGAACACCAGUGGCGAAGGCGACUCUCUGGGCUGUAACUGACGCUGAGGCGCGAAAGCGUGGGGAGCAAACAGGAUUAGAUACCCCCGUAGUCCCUGUCUCUUAUACA